rnacentral:tRNA from 1 species
GCGGUUUUAGCUCAGUUGGGAGAGCGUCAGACUGAAGUCAUACUUUAGUCUCGGUUUAUCUGAAGGUCCAGUGUUCGAUCCACUGAAACCGCA